AGCGAACGCUGGCGGCAGGCCUAACACAUGCAAGUCGAACGGAUCCUUCGGGAUUAGUGGCGGACGGGUGAGUAACACGUGGGAACGUGCCCUUUGGUUCGGAACAACUCAGGGAAACUUGAGCUAAUACCGGAUGUGCCCUUCGGGGGAAAGAUUUAUCGCCAUUGGAGCGGCCCGCGUCUGAUUAGCUAGUUGGUGAGGUAACGGCCCACCAAGGCGACGAUCAGUAGCUGGUCUGAGAGGAUGAUCAGCCACACUGGGACUGAGACACGGCCCAGACUCCUACGGGAGGCAGCAGUGGGAAUCUUGCGCAAUGGGCGAAAGCCUGACGCAGCCAUGCCGCGUGAAUGAUGAAGGUCUUAGGAUUGUAAAAUUCUUUCAGCGGGGACGAUAAUGACGGUACCCGCAGAAGAAGCUCCGGCUAACUUCGUG
rnacentral:rRNA from 1 species